UUUAAUUCGAAGCAACGCGAAGAACCUUACCAGGCCUUGACAUGCAGAGAACUUUCCAGAGAUGGAUUGGUGCCUUCGGGAACUCUGACACAGGUGCUGCAUGGCUGUCGUCAGCUCGUGUCGUGAGAUGUUGGGUUAAGUCCCGUAACGAGCGCAACCCUUGUCCUUAGUUACCAGCACGUUAUGGUGGGCACUCUAAGGAGACUGCCGGUGACAAACCGGAGGAAGGUGGGGAUGACGUCAAGUUAUCAUGGCCCUUACGGCCUGGGCUACACACGUGCUACAAUGGUCGGUACAAAGGGUUGCCAAGCCGCGAGGUGGAGCUAAUCCCAUAAAACCGAUCGUAGUCCGGAUCGCAGUCUGCAACUCGACUGCGUGAAGUCGGAAUCGCUAGUAAUCGUGAAAUCAGAAUGUCACGGUGAAUACGUUCCCGGGCCUU
rnacentral:rRNA from 1 species